CACUACAGCACUUUCACGUGAAAAACAAAGAGAGAACGUGUGAGAGAAGAGAAGGGAGCCGCCGCCCAAGCCACCACCAUUGUCGCCGGUCACGCGCGCGAGCAAGGGGGAGAGCGCGAAUAGAGAGGGUUUCGCGAAGGAGAAGGAAGGUGAAGGAGACUUGGACAGCAAGAGAUUGUUCUUCCAAACUUCAUUCUCUUCUUCUUUUCAGACCAAGAACCCAAGAUGGUCGUGAAGAUAAUGGCGAUGACUCAUUCUUGGGAGUUGAUGCUACGUGACGUGCCAAUACCGGAGGACGACUACACUUCAGAGGAAGAGGAAGAGACUAAGGAAUAGGGUUUUGGUUGAGAGUCUUUUGUUUUCUGUUGGGGUUGAGAGUUUCCGAAGUGUUGGUAUCGAACAAUUUUAUUGCUUAAAUUCGAAUGAACAAGUUUUGAUGUAAUCUUUAUUUUCAUUCAGGCCUUUGA